UCUCAGUCCCCUGCGACUGACUAGCCAUGACAGCGGUGAUUCUGAGACCAAGGCAAGUGGCCUAAAUCAGCUCAAGGGACCCUAGGGUCAGCUGACCCACCCAAAAACAGUCUGCACCUGUGCCUUGCCACCUCUCAUUUCUUACAAGUCACCACCACAGAGCAGAAAUGUUAGAAGUUACAGCACAAACUCGUUCCCAGCCCCUCCAAGCAUUUCGUGGUCCACGUGACCAAUAGCAGCAAGAAGAAGUGGAGGUUUAUUGUCCGGCUGUACACAGCACAAGCAAGAAAGCAUGGUAUAGCAGAAAGGACUCUGGAAAGAGACUGCAGUCUGAGCUCUGGGGCUUUCUCUGAAUUCCCAUUCACCUUGGGAAUGACUCACAACUGUGUUUCAAUCUCUGCUCCAGCAAUUACAAGCUGUAGGAUCUUGGAGAAGUUACGAAUCAUCUCUGUGCUUCAUUUUGCUCAUCUAUUAACAGUCUAGUCGUAUAGCAGCUGCCUUGGGAGGCUGUUUGGAACUUUAAGUAAGUUCACAUUUGUUAAUCCUAGUGAAAGUGCCUGGCACACAGUAAGCCCUCCCUGAACGUUGCUACUAAACAACUUCCAGGUCCCUCCAACCCUUCUCACUCUUUUUCUCUUCUUCCUUCCUCUGUGCUAUUUGCCACAUGUUCCUUCUUAUGCAUUUUCUUUUGCAAUCAAUGAAUUAUUUUAAAUCAAAA
rnacentral:lncRNA from 13 species